rnacentral:misc_RNA from 1 species
UAAAAAUGAUUGAAAAAAUAUAUAUUUCCAAGAUUUUUCAUUUUACAUUAAAAAAAAGUGAUUCUGAACUAUUAUAUGAUUAAUAGAACAAAAAUAUAAAUUCCACAUGAAUUACGUAAAAAAAAUUAUGUAAGAAAACAUCGCAUAUAGAUUCUUGAAAGUGUGAUAAGAUACGCGUGAAAAAGUUGCUCGUACAAUUAGGAUUCUUUCUUUAUUAUUUUUUUUCUUUAUACCAAUGUCAUUCGAAAGAAUGGCGAAUGAAUGAAACAAUGUUAGAACGGUGAGGAAUUUUCGGAUAAGCGCAGUUGCGUGGGUGUUUACGCUUAUCGAUCGAUUGGUCAAUUCGGCACGUCGCGUCGGUGCACGUCAAGACAACGAAGGGUGAUUCUUCUUCCUCCGUGCGGUACAAAUACGUUCAACUUGACCUCGAUUACGAUGAAUCGGAUUUCCGGACUACGGUGAUCCUAGCGGACACCCUCGAAUCAAUCCUUACGAGAAGGUGGGCGGAAAGGGGAGAGUUGGGAGAAGUCGAGCGAUUCGAAUCGCACGGAAAGUGAAACUUGGUAUCCUACCGCCGACUUUGGCCGUAGAUACCGACUUCCUUCUUCACUUGCAAUAAUUUACCAAACGGAAUCGGACACUGGCGUUUCCGGAUCUCGUUACGCGUCGUACAUACGUUCGAAUUUCCUAAACACGGCCGCGUUAAAUGUAACUCGCGACGGAAAUCCUUUAUAUCCUGCGAUACGCGAAUUUUAUCUACGUUCGAGAAAGAAAAAAUAGAUAUAUCCAUGUAGUCUUUAUAUAGGCGGGCAUUACGUUACGAGCGAGUCGAAACACGCGAUACGACGAGACUGCUUAGACAUAGUGCGAUAUCCCUGAAUUAAACAAUAAUUUAAUUUUAAGAAAAAAACAAGAACAUAGAUAAUUUGAUUAUUAAUCAUAUCAUUAAAUCAAAUUACCUAUGUUCUUGCUUAUAAAUUAUUAUUUUGACACAUCAAAACUAUAUAAAUUAUCUUCUUGCUUAUAUGAGAACCAAUGAUAAUUUUGUUUAUAUACAUAAGUUAAUUCUCUUUAAAGAGAAUUUGAUAAUAAUAUUAAAAAUGCUAAUUUUUAAUUUGAAGAUAUCAUUAGUUUCUAUCCGAUAUUUUUUCCUUUCGACUAACAUGAAUAUUGUUUCUUUUCUGUAAAAAAAAGGCAAAGGCAAAAUUAUGCCAGUCACCUACGCAAUUUCUAUCAAAUUCACCUGAUCGGCUGUAAAUUAAUUUCAAACACGACUCGCAUAGCAUAGCACCGAUAUUUCCUAUCUCCUCGAAAUUUCAUAUCAGCAUUAUCAAACUCCGGUCGGUGUUGGCAAGUAGAAGAACAGCUUGCGCUGCUCUCUCGAGUUGGCGAAAUCCUCGAAAGGGUUCGCCGGGCACAUGACACGUGAGGUUGGAACCGUGUCCGCUUGCGUGGACGCCGGGCGUCGCGUCGGACGCUCACGUGGCACCCCUCUCCACCUCUCUUUCAUUCUCGGGAGCGUCGUGCAUGAGGUUUCCUCGCCGCCCGGCGUCCUCUCCUCUCCUCUCCUUCGUACGGAACAGUGCGGUGCGGUGCGGUGCGGUGCGGCGGUCCCACGAUCUUCCAUCCCCUCUCUCCUCACUCUCUCGCGCGUCGCUCCCCCUUCCCUCACUUCCUUGCCUCACCCCGCUACUCGCUACUCGCUACUCGCAGCGUCCUCGGCAGCAGCCGAAGAGAGCCGAGAGCUGCGCCGUCGCACUCGUCGCCGCCGCCACCGCGCCACGCCGCGCCGCUCCUCAGUAACGCGAGCGCCUUCGUGGAGUUUGGUAUUUCGUUUCUCUAUCGCUCGUGCCGCGCGUCAUCGUCGUCGUCGUCGUCGUCGUCGUGGUAACGCGUAACGCGGCGGCAACGCGCGUUUCUCGUUUCGUCUUUCUUUGUCCGUAACAAUCGCGUGUUCCAUACGUUUACAGUGUACUACAGCUUUACUCAUCGUCGGGAGUACAGUGUUUCUCGAGCACAUUCUUCGUUAAUAAUUGUAGCGUCGAGACGAGUGGUUUGAUAAUUGAGAAAGAGAGGUAGAGAGCCUUGCUGCUUGCGCGCGCACGCGCGCGCGCGGGUGCGACGUCUUUUGCUCGGUUGAGAAUUCGGAGCCUGUCGCGCGAGGUAAACAAAGCGCCACGCCGGGGCGGAAUCGAACGAGUCAACAUUUGGAAACGGCGCGUCUAACUCAAAGUCUCUAAUCUCGCAGUGUGUGCGGUGUGUGUGUGUGUGUGUAUGUGUAUGUGUGCGUGUGUAUGUGUGUCUCGCGGGUGACGACGAGUAGUAGUGUGACACCGGUGGUGUAAGUCGGUGUCGUAGCCGCGCGCGGCAAACGAGAAUGCCGGGACGGCGCGUGACGCGGUCAGUCGGGGAGCAGCGGCGUGCUCGCGCCGGUUUGAUUUUCGGGUCGCCGAGCGGCGACUGAGAGGAGGGGGAGUGAGGGGAGAAGGGAUGCGAGAAGGAUCAUCCCGCGGGAGCAGCAGCCGGCGCGGUGUGUUGAGUAGCAGCGGCGUGCCGCGCGCGUGUAGGUGCCGGGCGAGUUGUAAGAGUGCUUGGUAGAGGUGGAGGUGGUGGAGGAGGAGGAGGAGGAGGCGGAGGAGGAGGAGAAGAAAAAGAAGAGGGUGAUCUCUCUCGGAUGGCCGGCGAGGAUGGCCGGCCGGCUGGCGGCGAGUGGCGCUGAUCCGCAACGACGUAGGUGCUGCUGUUGCUGCUGCUGCUGCUGCGCGCCUCCGCGACUCCGACGACACGACGACGUGACGGCCACGUGCCGUAGCGGACGCGUCGUCGUUGCUCAGUGGCGUUAACUCUCCCCCUCUUGUCCUAACCGCCGUGGAGAUUGCGUGCCGAGCGUGUCGUAACCAAGCGCGUUUCAGAACACGCGAUCGGAGUGUAUUCGCCCGUUUCAUCCAUCUAUUUAUUAAGUAAAACCGGCAUCCCCCGAAUCUACGAGAAGGCGAAGGAGGAGAAAGAGUUGGAGUAGGAACACCGAGUGGCCGGCGAAUCGAGUGCAAUCGCAGGAAACGCAACGAGAAAAGAGGGAGAUUCGUCGCUGUGCUCUUUUGGAAGGAUUUUCGCAGUUUCUCAAAGGACGAGAACAGAAAAAAGUGUGUCUCUCUCUCUCUCUCUCUCUCUCUCUUUUAGAAGUUAGGAUAGUACAUGAAGGAUUCUUGUUUGCGUGACUGUGUAUACGUGUGUGUAUUUGUGUGCGGAAAAAGUUGAUCCAACGCUUCGAUAUGAAAAUAGUGAACCGCGCGACGCGAUACCUUCCGUCCGAAGUGCAGCCUGGGGUAAGCGCGCGCCAAAUCCAAGUGCAGUGAUACGUAACGUCGACGUCCCUUCGCAGUGAUCGUUCAAUGACAGAGAGAAGUUUUAGCGACGUCGCGUCGCUAUUUCGAGUUUGAGAAAUGUAAUCAAUUUUAAAACCGUGAAAGUUUCAAUUGUCAAGGAAGGUGGAAAAGGCCUGGGGUGAUUCGCGCGUGUUGUUGACGCGUCGCCGCACGUGUGUCUCUGAGGAAAAUUGCUGUUUGAACUUGACGUCGUCGAGGGUUAGCUAAACUAAGAUUCGAAAGAUAGGACAGUGGAGAAAGUGAAGAAGGCAGGGAAGGCGUUUGAUCCUCUCUAGUCCAAAGCCCAGCGGGAGUUCUCGGGCGAGAGAAAGAGAGAGAGAGUGUGUGCGUGCGUGUGUGUGUGUCUGCGCGCGAAAGAGAGAGAGAGAGAGAGGAGGGUGAAGAGCGACGUGGAGGGGAGGAAGUGAUGCCGGCGGUGAGCGUGGCACAGCGCCCUCCAGGUGGAAUCCCACUCCACGCCGGCGUGCCGGUAGCGCCCAGCAGCGUAACCGCCCCCGGUCCGUCGGGCCGGUGCCUCGGGGGCCCGGCAGCACCCCCCGCCGGCUCGCCACCGCUGCCGCCGUCCUUGCAAUCCCUUGGCGGCGCGGGCCAACUCGCCACUAACAGCAACAACAGCACAAAUCCCAAUCCCAACGGCAACAGCAACAACAACAGCGCGUUCGGUGGCGGCAACCCCAACGGUCACCAUCUCGGCAACAACUCGGCCCUAGGUAUCAACACGGCGAGCGGCGCCACGAAUCCCUUGCAGGCGAUGGCGUCGGCGGCGGCGUCGCUCACGCAACUCAACAACAUGGCGAACGGGCCGCUGCCGCCACUCGCGGGCACCGGCCCGGGCGGACCGCCGAGUCUGCCGCCGCCGCAGCCAGCGACGACGCCGACGCACGGCGGCCCACCGACCCCGCACGGCGGGGUUAGCGCGGCGCCUCAUCUUAACGGCGCCUCUCCGAGUCCCCAUCCAAUGCCGCCUCAUGGCAUGAUGAGCGGCUCCCCGCAUACGCCUCACCCUCACAUGGGAGGCGGCGGACCCUCGCCUCAUCCCCAUCACCCGGGGCCUCACAUGGUCGGCUCGCCGCAUCAUCCAGCGGCGCCGCCCGGCCAUCCGGCGACGAUGGGCCCGGCCGGCAUGAUGGGCCCGGCCGGGAUGCAGCCCCAAGCCGCGCCCGGAAUGUGCGGACCCGGACCUACCGGGCCCAUGGGUCCGCACGCGCAUCCCCAGGGACCGGGAGUACCUGGACAGCCGCAUUUGCACAAUGACCCCUUCUUCAACUGCCAGCCUUUCCCCUCGCACUACUAUAACAGAUCGUUGCCUGUCCCCAGGAGGCAUACUCCAGCCUUUGGCUUCAGCCAACCGGACUACAGGCUCCACGAGUUGAACAAGAGGUUAUCGCAGCGUACGGAGGAAAGCGACAACGUCUGGUGGGACUCCUUCGCGAGCGAAUUCUUCGAAGAAGACGCUACUCUCACCCUUCAUGUCUGCUUGGAGGAUGGACCGAAAAGAUAUUCGAUAGGAAGGACGUUAAUACCCAGGUACUUCCGUUCGAUAUUCGAUGGUGGUGUGACGGAAUUGUACUACACUCUAAAGAACCAGAAAGAGUCGUUCCACAACACCACCAUCACGCUUGACUGCGAUCAGUGCACUAUGGUCACGCAAUACGGAAAGCCAAUGUACACCAAGGUGUUAACGGAGGGUAGGUUAAUAUUGGAGUUCACCUUUGACGACCUCAUGAGGAUAAAGUCGUGGCAUAUGUCGGUAAGGACGCAUCGGGAGCUCGUACCGAGGAGUGUUGUCAGUAUGCAGCAGGACCCAACGAUGCUUGAGCAGAUUAGCAAAAACAUCACCAGGCAGGGCAUGUCCAACUUUACUCUCAACUACCUUAGAUUAUGCGUGAUUCUGGAGCCAAUGCAGGAACUGAUGUCGAGGCAUAAAGCGUAUGCUUUAUCACCCCGCGAUUGUCUGAAGACGACCUUGUUCCAGAAAUGGCAGAGGAUAGUUGCCCCGCCGGGUAAGAGAGGUAGACGAACAGUUGCUUUACAUGAGAAGCACCAGCCAGUGGACGAAUGAUCGUCGAUCUUAAUAAACAAUGUGAAAUCGAUUCUUGCUAUCCGCGAAAUGGCGCAUGACAAUUUAUUGUCGCCAUCUUUUUUAUCACUUUAUGUCGUGAUUCUUGGUUCCGCCGGUUUUUCUCUUGUUGAGCAUGAGACUUGGCAAUUUUCUAUUUGAAAUCUUCUAGUAGUUAGACUUUCCUAUGAACAAUUUUGCUUGCUUGAUCGAAUUCAAGCCAAAUGUUCGAGUUAUUCUGCGAUCAAAUUACUUGAGUCAUGAUUAAAAUUUCCAUUUUCUCUUAAUUUUGCAAAUUACAUUAAUUGAUAUUAAUAACUCGGUUAUUUUUCGUUUAAAAUUGUGUGAUACUUCUAGCGUCCGCUUAUUGUACCUGUACUUGUGCGUUGAUACCACUGCU